UUUUAUAUAUUUUUAUACACUUUUUUAUAUACUAUCGAUAGCCCUUUGAACUAUUUUUAGCAUUUUUUAUCAUAAAAUAUUUGUCUACUUUCCAAAAUUUACUUCCUAAAUAUGGUCAAUUUCUUCCUUUACCCUUACGCUCUUGAAUUGGCAUGAUACAUACACUUUAACUUUAGUUAAUUUAAAAUUGUUGACGGAAAUCUUAAAAUAUAUAAAAAAAAUAUAUUUUUUUUAACUUUUUAAUUAUUCUUUGACCAGACACGUUAAAAAAGAUUAAGGAUACAGAUCUUAAACGCAUGACAGCAAAUUGGUGACGUUUACAUUUUGGGCGUUGUACCCGUCAUUUCACGUGCAUGGCACGUACUUAAUAAUUGGACUCGUACAGCUAGGUAAGAAAGCUCAUGUGCGAUCCAAAAUUUUGAUUGUGCGGUGGAAUCUAAGUAUUUUGUGUUUUAUUUUAAAUCUAUUUUGAUAAUUUAAAUUAUUUAUAUUGUAAAAAAUUAAAUUAAUUGAAUACAAAUCAAUAUUCGUUCAGUACUGUUUUAUAAUUUAAAAAAUAAGUAUAAUAUAUAGAAUUAUAAACGAUUUGAAUAAUUAAAAUAAAUUCAAAAUGUAGUUCAAAUUAUUUGAACUGCACUAUACAAUUCAAAAUUUGGAUGAAAGAGAAGUUAUACCCACCCCCACCCCCACCCCCACGCCCAUUUUUGGUUUCGAUCCUACUAUUUAGUUUAUUUUAGUAUUUUUUAUUUUAUUUUUAUUAAUUUUUAUUAAUUUUUAUUUUUUACUUUUUCAGGCUCUCUAGUACGGAAAAUAAAACAAAUACAAUCAAAUGCCGACUAACAAAGUGGGUUUGGGUUUACGGACUGCCAUCAAAGCACUGCAUUAAUCCUGUAUAUUCAAACCGUUAAUAUUAUUGAGAUUGUUGAUUUGAUCAUUCGCAGAAAAACAAUCAGAUUGAUCGAAUAUAAGUAAUUACAUAAUCUAAAUAUAUUUGUUUUAAAAUUAAUAAAUAGAAAAUAUAAUUUUUUGAAUAUACUAUAAGAUAAAUAAAAUCAAUCAUUUUUCUACUGAUGUCCGAUUAUCUUAUUUUUUUGCAUAGGUCACAUGUUCAAUGGAUUUAUAAAUUGAACGAUUCAGAUUAUAAAAAUGGAUCAACGAGAAAUUUAUAGAUAAGGCAUUAAGGGGUCAUUUGGAUACCGAAUUGGAGGGAGAAACUUUUCCCUCGGAUAGGGCUGCAAAUGAACCGAGCGUUCGUAAACGGCUCGGCUCGGUCGUAAGGCUCGUUAAGUCGUUUAUUAAGUAAAUAAACGAGCUCGGCUUAAAAAAUUUGGCUCUUUUUGUAAACGAGCCGAGCCCGAGUUUGUCAUGGCUCGACUUCGACGGAAUAGGCUGCAGCCAAGGGUAUCUAUAAUGAAAUUUUAAGACUUUUAGGGUUUAAACCAAAUCUUUUCAAUUUAUUGGGUAGUUUUUUGGUGUUGUCCUUUGAAAAAUUCUUGUGUGAUUUGUGAUAUAUUGUGCUUUGUAGAUUCAGUUUGUAAUUUAGUGCAGGUGAUUGUCGGUUGGUUUUGUUUUUUAUUUUGCUGAUGUGCUCAUUAUUUUCAUUGUUGUGUGGUUAUAGUUAGUGCAUGUUAAAGUUUAUUAAUCUCUCUAUGUCUCUUAAACAAAGAAAAGUUGUGUUUGGUUUAAAAAUAAAUAAUAUAAUUUUUUAAAAAAAGUUUUUCAAGCCAAACAGGUGAAAUGUUAAUAGAAAUUUCGAGUUCGGAUUUCUCGAGCGAGCUUGGACGUUUAUUUUAUAUCGAGCUUUAUCGACGUCGAGCUUCAAAGAUUUAGACGAGCGAGCUCGAGGUCUGUAUUUUAGGCCGAUUCGAGCUCGAUGCGAGCUCGAGCCCGAACAAAGUUAUAACGAGCCGAGCCUAAACAUGCUAAACUCGAAUCGACUCGGAAGUUUGCUUAAGCACAUACCCUCGGAUAAUUUUCUCUCCCGGCGUUUGGCUGGUGGAUAAUUUAUGCCCCCGUAGGUGGAUUAUAAAGACGGAUAAUUUUUAGGUAGCAUUAUAGACCCUAACUAAAAGUUUAAUCCGGGAGAUAAAGGGGUGGAGGAUAGAAAAAAAUAUAUUAUUAAGAUAAACAAAAUGUAUAAUUUAUAAUAUAGAGAGAGAGAAAAUAAAAGAUAAUUUUUAAAUCUAAAUAUUUUAUAUUUUGUUUCUCUUUAUAUAUUUUUUCUUUAUCCUCCACCCUUAUCACACCCAUUAAUAAAAAGUAUCCCAACAAAAUAAAAUUAUCUACCUCUAAAAUUUGUCCCCUCCAAAUCCUCCAGUCAAACGAACCCUUAAGGGGUGUAGUUCGUUGGGAUACUGCCUGUUGGUGGAAAAAUAUAUGAGUAAAAAUAAGUAUUUAAAUAAAUUUAUUUUAAUAAAAAAAUUAUAAUUAACAAAAAUUGAAGGUUAAUAUCAUUGGCCAUCAUUUAAAUGUUGUCUACCAUAAUUAAUAUAAAAAAAUA
rnacentral:lncRNA from 1 species